CGCCUCUCGCGAAGCGCCCAUCCCUCAGCUAAGCGCGGCACUCUUAGGUUUUUUGUUGCUUGUGUGCGCAUUUUCUUCUCCAGCCUGUCGCAUCCCCCCAUAGACCACCGCACGCAUUGGCUCGCACGCCGGCACAGAUCUCAAGAGCUCGAUCCAGCUGCGCAAUCGGCGUGUUGCGGCAAUGUCAUCGCAUAAUAGUUUCCAUGACGCCGGCGGUGGGCAUGAGCACUCGCUCCUGCUAGUAUUGCAAGCCACGGUGAAGAAUUCACUAUGGCACUUGGCCUUCUUCCCUGCGCUGCGGCCCAGCUCGCACAUCGUGUCAGCUGUCAAGGCGCAUUCCUCGACGUCGUCAAAAGCGGCGGAUAACAGCGUGGUUGUGAGUGCCCUUCACAGCCUGGCGCUGUUGGAGGCGGUGGGCUACACAGAGGCUGGCCACACGGCUCGGCGGCUGUGGCGAGCGCACGCCUUUGGCUCAACGUUUUCUCUAUCUCAGCACCUCGUGUCCGCGGAGCAGUGGAGCUGGGUCGACAAGCUGCGCGUCACGGCGCUUCGUCAUGCAGAGGAUCUCUCCUCCACACUCGGCAGCGGAGAAGGUGUGUUGGCCACUCUGCUGGCAGAGGCGCAGAAGUUGAAUAAGCAAGAUAAACAGACGACGGCGUGCGACGCACUUUUUUCGGAACUGGCUCACGACUACCUCGAGCACAUUGCAACCGCGACCUCGGCCACGAGCACGGUACACGCGUCUAAGCCAGCUGCUUCAGCAGAGUCGAACCUUGGAGUCCCGCGGCGCCGCACAACUUCGAUCUUCCAGUACGAAGUUCUGCCCGCACAGGCAGCUGCGGCGCGGCAGCGACGGCAGUGGUACGAAGCACGCCUGUACGCUGCUGUUGCGUGUAGCACAAGCAUCUCGACCCCUGGACCGCUAGCACGACUCCUUGUCGCCUACGCCCAUCAAGGCGAUCGUCGACUGCAAGUUGCAGCAGGCACAAACCUUGAAUGCUAUAUCGGCGGAGAUCAUAAUGGCGAAAAGACGAAGGAGGGGGGCAACGCAGCCCCAGUCACGAGCGUGGCCACCGAUACUGCAGCUGCCGCCCUUGCUCGGGUGCGUCUCAGCGGUGUGGUGGCUGGUGUCGUGGAGUAUGCACUGUGCGUGGCUCGGGUGCGCACCGCCGUCGCGGUGGCCGAGCUUCGUGCCUCCGCCUCGGCUGUGAACGCGUCACCGGAGCAGCCUCCGCCGUGCACGGUGCCGACGUCGUGUGCCGUCGCCCACGUGCCUCACAGCGCUGCCCUGCUACUCAGCCUUAUAACAGAAGAGUGCAGCUACUAUCAGCAAACAGCGCCGGCCGGCACCGGUGGCGGGGAGGUGGGAGUCACCGCAGCGGUGCUGCACGCCGUGCAAGAGCUGCUCUUCACAGUUGUUCUUGGGGGUGGCACGCAGCACAUGCACAACAGGCCUGAGCCGCCAGCCCCGCCGAAGAGGCCAGGCGCAGAUGGAGGCGGUGGCGCCAGCGUGACGCCAGUGGUGAUGGCCAUGUCGACCACCCGCGGCGUGACACUGCCGGAGGCGGAUGCCAUCGCGCAGGAGUUUUUCCCUGCCCUCGUGCAGCAGCUCGGCAUGGAGUGGGUGUGGUCGCCGCUGCUGCGGCACUUGGCGAGCCUAGACAAGUCCCAGGUGUCCGCAGAGGCAAUCGACGCGCGAGCAGGCUCGACGCCCGUGUCGUCUCUGAGCGUGCGGUGGAGCAGCCACGUGCUCAUGGACACCAUUCUUCUGUCCCUCUCCCGAAAGACGUAUCCGCAGCGUCUCCUAAACGUUCUUCCCGGCAGCUACGAGCGUCUCCUCAGCAACUUGGAUCUACUGCCCCAAAUACGUCCGCGGGGCGACGACGGUGACGAUGCCGGUAAGGGUGACGCGGCGCGCCGUGCGAGUGGUCCGUUGCUGUUCGGCAUGCCCGCCUACUACGCUGAGCCGGCAUCUGCCCUGGUUGCGUACUUUCAGCGCGCCGGCGUGUCUGGGUUGCGAAUAGAAGAAACGGAGCGCAUCCUAACGACUGCCACGAGUAUACAUGCAAUGGUCGUGCGACUUCGAGCACAGGCGCCUUCGAGGCAUGACGCGGACGGGCGCGAGGACGGCGCCGAUGAUCGAAGUGGCGAAGAGCUGGACGGCAACGGUAAAAGCUGCGUUGCCUCUCUUUACUACCAUAAUAAAACGAGGGCCACGCCGCACGCCUACGCACUGACACACGAACGUGUCGAGCAUCUUAUCACGCGCUAUCAGGGUGAGGUGCUCCUUGCCGCUGUCGUCGUGCACACCCAGUUGCGUGUGCCGAGCCAGGUACAGCAGCUCAUGCGCGUGCUUGCGCCGCUAUUCUUGAAGAUACACCUGGCAUGGCGCACCCAUCACGACGGCAGCAGUGCCUCCUGGCUACUUCAGCCUCGCACGGACCCCAGCGUGACCGGUACGACACCCAGCGCCGCGCGCUUCAGCGCAGAAGCGGCGGUGCUGCUGGAUGAAGUGGGGUACGAGUUUUAUCCCCUCGAGUGGUUGCCCGCUGCGUUGGCCGCAAGCACCGCGACAAGCGACUCAUCUGUCGAACGCCUCGCCUUCCCCUACUCUCUGUUGGCCGCUGUAGGUCACCAGUUUCAGCUGCAGCUGCGCGGCAUCCCCCUAGGGAGCAGCGGAGACGUCACCCUUCGCCACCCUGCUGGUCCUCGGACGUCCGCCGUGAUGCCGUCGGUGGGCGGAGCGGCUCUCAUUGCCAGCUGCAGGGGUGGGGACGAGGAGGAGACCAAGUCCACUGCCGCGGCGUGGCGCAGGACCGAGCGCUUUGUGACGGGGCUCAUGCAACUCUGCUACCUCGACCCCAAAACAUCCUCGACAGAGCUGGAGGGGACGCUGGCGGUGUCGUCUACCAGGCGCGUCUUGACAACGAGCGGCGGAAGUGCCACGCUGGGCUCUAGUGGCGGUGGUAGCUCAGCCCUUGGCGUUCGCGGCAGUCGGGCGAACGUGAUUGCAGCGGCCGAUGUUGCAUCGCACCGCCUACGCUCCCUGGUGCUGCAGCCGGCGGUGAUGGACGCCAUGUGGGGCUCAAUGGAGAACACUGCUAUCACCAGGGGCAACGGGGCGUCGCAGCGGUACGGCGAGCGGCGUGAGAAGCGGUCACGGUCGGUGUCCGCCUCAGCAGAGGCACAAGAGCACCUUCGAUCGAUGCAGCAGCUGCUGCAGGAGUAUGGUGCCGCCUCCUUCGACACAACGGUGGAAGCCGCAGACUUUGCCCUCAUGAUUGCACAGGCCUUCCUGCCUCUCUCUGUCGGCACAAGUGCCUCACUUUCCUCCGCAUCAGGCAAAGCAGGCCCGGCCGCCUCGGCAGGGAAGAAGAGCGAGGCGCUUCUGCGUGCUGGACUGGGAUGGGGUAGUGCGGUGGUGGGACACGCUGCCACCAAGGCGAGGGUGCACAUGCAGCUUCAGCAGCAGCAGAAGGGAGGUGUCUCGUCAUUUUCGGCGGCGCUUGCGCAUGUCUACAACAGUGCCACGGUAGACACGGCGUGGCUCGCGCGGAGCGCACUGCGGUACGUCCCACAGCGCAUCUGGGAAAAAAUGUGUGCCCAUCGAGCCGAGAGGCUUGCCCUGGUUCAUCGGCACAGCAAGUGGGUCUCACGCCUCCUCGGAGAUUUGCCCACCGCUUCGGAAGCGAAGCAAUGCGACGUUGGCGAUGCGCACCGCGUCGACCCGCUGCUGGUGGCGCAGUGGACGCAGUGGGAACGUGUGUUGGAGCAGCUAGGGCUCUCUGAGCACCUUGAAGGCAGUUCAGCCGCGGCGGCAAGCGCGAUGCCUCGCCUAUCACCUUUCUCAGCAGAGGAUAUCACAUGUGCGCAGUGGUUGUGGUACUCGCCGUACUUCGCGGCAGAGAUGGCGCCCUAAGAGCUGCGGGUGUCGAGGAAGCCCUGGCUGGCCUACUCGGGUUGCUUCUGCCGUGGCAUUGUGUGGUGAUUUUCUUCUUGCUCCUAUGGGAGGGCGGCUCAUAACGUUCCAGGCUGCCGUCCCCCGCCCGCCUGCACCGCUUAUCAGCAAAGAGCCGCUCCCUAUCGUGACCGUGCGCUUCUUACCUGAGAACACUGUGAAGGAGCUUAGGAAGGAGAUGAAAUCUGGAAUGAGGCGCUGGUGUGCCUCUCCACUGCCUCCUGCUCCGCCUCACUCACCGUGCAUGAGAUGAACGC
rnacentral:misc_RNA from 1 species